UAGGUGUUUUGUGGUCAUUUUGCAACUUUUUAUUGUUAUUUUGUGUGUCUCUCAUCAUCUGUGUCUUUAUAUGAUAUUUAUCUGUCGCAUUGAGUCAUUUUGUGAUUUUCUGUGGUCAUUUUCCGUCUUUUUGAGCAUUUUUUGGUCCUUAUCAGUCUGUUUGUGGUCAUGCUGUGGCUUUUUGGGGUUGUUUUGUGUGUCUUUGUGCUCAUUUUGUUUCUUUUUUGGUCAUUUUCCGUCCGUUUGUGGGCAUUUUAGGUCUUUCUUUGGUCAUUUUGUGCACUUUUUUUGGCUGUUUUCAGUAUGUUUGUUGUAAUUUUAGGUAUUUCUGUGAUCAUUUUGCAAUUAUUUUGACGUUAUUUUGUGUGUCUAUCAUCCUUUAUAUGAUAAUUAUCUGUCUCACUGAGUCAUUUUGUGUUUUUCUCUCGUUGUUUUGUGUCAUUUUUUUGUCAUUUUGUGCAUCUUUGUGCUCAUUUUGCUUCAUUUUUGGUCAUUUUCAGACUUUUGUGGUUAUUUAAGACUUUUUGAGGUCUGUUUGUGCCCCUUUGUGACCGUUUUCAGUAUGUUUGUUGUAAUUUUAGGUAUUUCUGUGAUCAUUUUGCAAUUAUUUUGACGUUAUUUUGUGUUUCUAUCAUCCUUUUGUGUAUUUAUAUGAUAAUUAUCUGUCUCACUGAGUCAUUUUGUGUUUUUCUGUCAUUAUUUUGUGUCACUUUUUGUCAUUUUGUGCAUUUUUGUGGUCAUGUUGGGUCUUUCUGUGGUUGUUUUGUGCGUCUUUGUGCUCAUUUUGCUUCAUUUUUGGUCAUUUUCAGACUGUUUUGUGGGUAUUUAAGACUUUUUGAGAUCUGUUUGUGCCCCUUUGUGACCAUUUUCAGUCUGUUUGUGGUAGUUUUAGGUGUUUUGUGGUCAUUUUGCAACUUUUUAUUGUUAUUUUGUGUGUCUCUCAUCAUCUGUGUCUUUAUAUGAUAUUUAUCUGUUGCAUUGAGUCAUUUUGUGAUUUUCUGUGGUCAUUUUCCAUCUUUUUGAGCAUUUUUUGGUCCUUAUCAGUCUGUUUGUGGUCAUGCUGUGGCUUUUUGGGGUUGUUUUGUGUGUCUUUGUGCUCAUUUUGUUUCUUUUUUGGUCAUUUUCCGUCCGUUUGUGGGCAUUUUAGGUCUUUCUGUGGUCAUUUUGUGCACUUUUUUUGGCUGUUUUCAGUAUGUUUGUUGUAAUUUUAGGUAUUUCUGUGAUCAUUUUGCAAUUAUUUUGACGUUAUUUUGUGUUUCUAUCAUCCUUUUGUGUCUUUAUAUGAUAGUUAUCUGUCUCACUGAGUCAUUUUGUGUUUUUCUCUCGUUAUUUUGUGUCAUUUUUUUGUCAUUUUGUGCAUUUUUGUGGUCAUGUUGGAUCUUUCUGUGGUUGCUUUGUGCGUCUUUGUGCUCAUUUUUGCUUCAUUUUUGGUCAUUUUCAGACUGUUUUGUGGGUAUUUAAGACUUUUUGAGAUCUGUUUGUGCCCCUUUGUGACUAUUUUCAGUCUGUUUGUGGUAGUUUUAGGUGUUUUGUGGUCAUUUUGCAACUUUUUAUUGUUAUUUUGUGUGUCUCUCAUCAUCUGUGUCUUUAUAUGAUAUUUAUCUGUCGCAUUGAGUCAUUUUGUGAUUUUAUGUGGUCAUUUUCUGUCUUUUUGAGCCUUUUUUGGUCCUUUUCAGUCUGUUUGUGGUCAUGAUGUGGCUUUUUGUGGUUGUUUUGUAUGUCUUUGUGCUCAUUUUGUUUCUUUUUGGUCAUUUUCAGACUGUUUUGUGGAGAUUUAGGUGUUUUGUGGUCAUUCUGUGGGUCUCUGUGGUCAUUUUGCAACUUUUUGUUGUUAUUUUGUUGCUCUCUCUCAUCAUUUUGUAUCAUUAUUUGAUAAUUAUGUGUCUCAUUGAGUCAUUUUGUUUCUUUUUGAGCCUUUUUCCUUUGUCAGUUUGUGUCUCUUUGUGGUCAUUGUUGGUCAUUAUCAGUCUGUUUGCGGUCACAAAAUGUGUCUCCUUAUUUUUUUCAUUCUGUUUUUCAGUGCAUUGUUUCCUCCAGUCUUUUCAGCUCAGUGUAAAGCCCCAUUCUGUGCUCAGUGUGCCGGUGCUCUAUCAGCUCUAAUGAGACACACCUGAGGCUGCUCACCUGUGGAGGAGGGGCCUACACCGUGAGGAAGACAUCAGCUGAAAGGAGAACGGCUUCCUCACUGGAACAUAAUCGAGAACGGAAUUAAGUGUCGGCAGGCCAGUAUCAGCGGAGGAUUGUGGAGGAAGUGAGGGCUGAUGGGAGAGAAUCACAAGGAUCAUCCAGGAGUUUAAAGGAGUCCGGUCCUGGAGAGAUGUGACGGUCGGAGCUACAACACUGAGAUCACAGUGAGUUCAUUCAUCUUUUUAAGCAGUCAGUGGGUGAAACUAACCCGUCUCACAGCGGUCUAAACCCAGCUAACAUUCCAUAUUAGCGCGUGAACACUCAAGUAGUGAAUGUUUGGGCUUGUAGAAGGGCAGGGUACGCUGAUGAAAAGAUCCAUAACACAAGACAAAACCAAUGCGAUAUCACUGAAUGAAAUAAAUAACUGCUGAACCCAACAACAAUGGCGACUUAUCUACAGUACCGUUCAUAAGUUUGGUGUCACCCAGACAAUUUCAUGUUUUGAUGAGACCAUUAAGUACAAAAUAACUCAAAGAGUUCAUGAUGGACCAAUGGACAUGUGUUUGACGAAUGGACAUCUGUUGGACCAAUGGAUAUGUGUUGGACAAAUGGACAUGUGUUUGACGAAUGGACAUCUGCUGGACGAAUGGACAUGUGUUGGACCAAUGGACAUCUGCUGGACGAAUGGACGUGUUGGACGAAUGGACAUGUGUUGGACGAAUGGACAUGUGUUGGACGAAUGGACAUCUGUUGGACCAAUGGACAUCUGUUGGACCAAUGGACGUGUUGGACCAAUGGAUAUGUGUUGGACGAAUGGACAUCUGUUGGACCAAUGGACAUGUGUUGGACCAAUGGACAUGUGUUGGACCAAUGGACAUGUGUUGGACCAAUGGACAUGUGUUGGACCAAUGGAUAUGUGUUGGACGAAUGGACAUCUGUUGGACCAAUGGACAUGUGUUGGACCAAUGGACAUGUGUUGGACGAAUGGACAUGUGUUGGACCCAUGGACAUGUGUUGGACCAAUGGACAUGUGUUGGACGAAUGGACAUCUGUUGGACGAAUGGACAUCUGUUGGACCAAUGGACAUGUGUUGGACCAAUGGACAUGUGUUGGACCAAUGGACAUGUGUUGGACCAAUGGACAUGUGUUGGACGAAUGGACAUGUGUUGGACGAAUGGACAUGUGUUGGACCCAUGGACAUGUGUUGGACCCAUGGACAUGUGUUGGACCAAUGGACAUGUGUUGGACCAAUGGACAUGUGUUGGACCAAUAUAAUGUAUGGAUUUUAUUUUAUUUAUUUAUUUUUUUAAUUGUGUGGAAAUUGAGGGUUUAUGGUUGGAUGGCCUAGGGGAGGUGGAGUGGGGGAAUGGUGGGUUGCAUGGUUUAUUCCUUUUUGCCACUCUAUG